UGCACUCAUAUAAGAUUUAAGACAAACAAUUCUCCUUGCACAAUUCAAAAUGCCUGAAUGAAUACAUUGGAAAUACGUAAAAAUAGGAAUUUGGUUUAGGGAAUUGUCUUAGGCAUCAAAACAAAAUUUGUGGAAAAUACCAAAAAAUGACUGAUCAUUUUGAGUUGCAACUGGAUGUAGUUUCACAAGCUGAUGGAGAUGAUGAAACUGCAAAUGUCUUCAACCCACUAUGUCAGUUGCAUGUCCGCUGAGGGUGAUAAGAAACUGGACAAGUGAAAAAGGAUCACCAAUGGUAUUAAAUUCUGUGAACUGUUAGGACAAACUGUUAAGGAUACGCUUGAAAUAGGUUGAGCUUUGACCUAUGUACACAGAAUAAUAUAAUUCUCACAGUAGCAUCACAAAAUUAACCACCAUGAGAAUACAUAUCGAGUACACCCGAA
rnacentral:misc_RNA from 1 species